CCGGGGCCACCGGGUAAGAUAAACUUUGGUGUCUUGGCCAGCUUAAACAUGCUUUGAUUCUAAGAGAAUAAAAGCAAACAUUGAUUGAGGGCUUCUGAUUUUCUGCAUGUCUGGGUGUCGUAUUUCAGAUUUCUGUAUUCAAUAGCACAGACAGGAUCAGAACCCAGGAUCCUCUGGGCCAGAAAAAAGAUGUGAUUAACAGACUGGACGGGGGGGGAAGGAAACGGAGGCAGACAGGGAAGGCAGAGGAGCGAGAAGCCUGAGCGAGCAGGAGACAGCUCAGCGCCGGGCACGUGUGGCCAGGGCAGCACGCACUGGGGACGACCGUCCACUGGGGUCCCGAGAGCGGCUGCUCCAACCAGACCCUCCCUGGAUUUCAAAGGUCCAGGAGCCAGGGGAUUCUUGUUUACCUUGAACUAGCCUGACCUGGGUUUUCGUCACCUGCCACCUAAGAGUUCCUACAAAUGCCAAGUCUUAGGGAGGAAUUACAGAGUGGCACUAUUGUAGCAUAAAAGCAGCUUUAGACAAUCUGUAAGUGAAUGGGCAUGGCUGUGACCCAAUAAAACUAUUUACAAAGACAGGCAGUGGGACAGAACGGACCUUUGAGCCACCGUUGGCUGAGCCCCGCCUGCAGAAUCAUCCAAUGGGCCAGCAGAAGUGUGUCCUGGAGCCCCAGUGGCGCAAUCGGUUAGCUCGCGGUACUUACAGAGAAGUGUCUGUCUAGGCUGCGUGUCCUGAGACCCCCACAGUUCAAAGUCAGCUCACAGGGUAUUUGGCUGGGUUAUUAGAUGGUCUGGAAGAUCCCUACCUACCGCGAGAGUCUAGAAUGCUUUGGCCUGAUUUUGUCUUAAGGAUUUAAAGGUAGAAUCGAAUUCAAGCGAUGAGCAGAAUGGAAAAUUUCCUCCAACAAAAUGCCUGCGAUCCUAAUUACCAGCUCUGUAGCUGAGCAUAUGUUGCAGGAAGCCUUACUUCACGGAGAGCCAGUGAAAAUGCACGGAGGGGACAGCUAGCAGAUCUUGCAAGCUGGAGUCCAGGCUGUUAAUUACUUUUGUAAAAGAAAUAUAUCAACAUGCAGAUGGCAACUGUAGUAAAUACAUUCGUCUACAUAUAAAUACCAAGAUCCAGCCUACUCCUCCCGGACCACCUCAUAUGCGACAAACUCUGAGAGAGACGUCCAGAUUCUCCCCAUCCUCCGCCACACGUGAGCGCCUUCCGACUAAGCAGUGCUUCUCGACGUUGACCAGGCAUCGGAGUCCCUGGAUGUCUUGCCCAAACACAGAUGGGGAGUUCCAGUCAUGGCUCCGCGGUUAACGAACCCGCCAAGGAGCCAUGAGGUUGUGGGUUUGAUCCCUGGCCUCGCUAAGUGGGUUAAGGAUCUGGCAUCGCCGCAAACUGUGGUGUAGUUUGCAGAUGUGGCUCGGAUCCCGCGUUGCUGUGGCUGUGGUGUAGGCCAGCACCUAUAGCUCCGAUUCGACCCCUGGGAACCUCCAUAUGUCACGGGUUCACAAAAGACAAAAAACAAAAACAAAAACGAAAACAAACCCACAAACGGCUGAGCCCCACGGCCAGGGUUUCUGAUCUGGAAGGUCCAUGGUGGGGGCUGAGAAUCUGCGUUUCCAACAAGUCCCCAAGGGAUGCUCAUGCUGCUGCUGUGGGGACCCCAUUUGGAGAAGGAUUUACCCAGAGCACAGUCGACCUUGUAACGUUGUUACCUGUGUGCUUGUUUCCCCCGUGGCAUGUCCAUAAACCCCGCAGGAUUCUGUGGGCGCCCCACAAAUGUCUAGACACACCCAUGGGAUGAGUUGAGGUGUUUCGUUUUUGGUCAGGAUGCACCUGACAGCUGUUUCCUACAAUAGGAAAUUCUGGAACCUGCAAGGAAGGCAGAUGCAACAGAUGUGUUCCUAAGGAAUAACCCGUAACCAGUGCAGGAAAUUCUGUGGCUAAACCACGCUGCCAGAGAAUUCGCAGCCUCGUCAAGGUCAAUAUUCUGGUGGAAGACCAAAAUAGAAAUGAAAUCCCUCAAGCUGUUAUAUAACUUUUCCUACACAUACCGCAGUUACUUGGGGGGGGAUGGACAAUGACAAAUAAUAGAAACGCUAAAGGUUAUCUAAAUCCCCUUCAGAGGGAAGCCAAGAAAAAGAGUAUGUUGGCAAAAUCAGAAUGUGGCUGGACUUGGAGGGAGGGGCUUUAAAAUGGUGAUUAAGUUAAAAUGGGGUCCCCGGGAGUGAACUCUACCCCAGCAGGACCGGUGUCCUUGUCCAAAGGGAAGAGGAGGACCCAGACAUGCCCAGAGGGAGGGCGAGGCGAAGGCACCGGCAGAAUCGGCGUCUACAGCCAGGGAGGGCGGCCUCCGAAGAAACCACCCCUGCGGACAGGUGGCUCUCGGACUUCUAGCCUCCAGAACUAUCACUAGACAAACUUCCGUCGCUUAAGCCACACGGGUGAUCCACGGUUCUGGCAGCUCUAGCAAACCAGUAUAAACUCCCAGUUAUUCUUGUAAAUAGUAUCAAGGGUAUAAAAACUUGCAGGAAAUCAAUACCACGCAAUGCCCGUGGAACAGGAGGUGCUCUGUCCACCUACCCCGACUGCCCGCCCUCUUGCCUUGGGGUCCUAAGUGGCCUCCUCUCCCACUCAUGUCUCCGCACAGUCGCCACAGUGAUGCUUCCAAGAAGCAAAUCCCAUGAUGCUCGCUCCCAACCUCACCACUUACCAGGGGCACUGGACAUUAUUUAAUGGCUUCACUUUCUUCUUGGGAUAAAGUCGGACUCCUGACCAUGGUCUACAAGGGCCUGCAUGGUCGGGUCCCUGCCAGCCUCCCCCAUCUCCUGGCAGGCUCCCCUUCGCUCUGACAGCCUACGAUGGCUACCUCCUUCCUUUCUUUUCCCUCCCGUGUACCCUGCUCCCCCUCGACCCUGGGGGAGUCCCACUCCAAAACAGACACGACAGAGGUGCUUUCAUGUGAACAUGUGUCACAGGUCCUGGAAGAUGCAUUUCGAGGCAGAUGGCAUUCUGUCCUGACUACUCCUGCCCCACUGCCUCAUCAGGCUAGUCACGGGUAAAAACUGCCUGAAGAACAACGUAAAAGCACUGUUUCCAAUAGCCAAGGCAUGGAGACAGCCCAGGGGUGCUUCAAGAGAAGGCUGCCUUAAGAAGAUGUGGUGCAUAUGGGUGAGCAACGGAAUAUUACUCAGCCAUAAAAAGAAUGAAAUACUGCCAUUUGCAGCAACAAGAAUGGACCUAGAGAUUAUCCUACCAAGUGAAGUAAGUCAGAUAAAGAUAAAUGUUACAUGCUAUCAUUUGUAGGUGGGACCUAAAGAGUAAUACAAAUGAAUCUGUAUACAAAACAGAAACAUACAGACGUGGAAAACAAAUUUACAGUUACCAAAGGAGAAAGGGAGGAGGGAAGGCUAAAUCAGGCGUAUGGGAUUAACAGAUAGCAGACAGACACCACACAUAAACUAGAAAAGCAACAAGGAUUCACUGCACAGCACAGGGAACUGGAUUCACUAUCUUGUAAUAGCCUAAAAUGGAAAAUAAUACGAAAAAACUACACACACACACACACAUGCAUAACUGAGUCUCUUUGCUGAAGAGCUUAAACUUACACAAUAUUGUAAAUCAACUACAAUUCAAUUUUUCAAAAAAGAACAGCUGGAAAGUGUCAGGGCUGAUCCGUGCGGAGUGCGGCAGCAGUAAAAAGUAGGUGGGCGAGGGUCCUUCCCGACAAGGCACAGGUGGACCCUGGGAGCUCCCGCGCAUCUGGGAGCCACAAAGGGAGCUGAAGGGAGACAGGCUGCGCCCGGCAGCCGGGACUCGUCACCUGCUCCGACGGGGGUGAUGAAAGGGUUCUUCCCCUCUGGUCUGGCUGCUCACUGCCCUUCCAGACGCAGAGAGAAGGACAACGCUCCCUCCCGUGGUCCCCGGCCUGCGUCGCUUCUCAUCGUCACGUAACCACAGAGACCUUGCUUUCUGGGCGAGGCACCGAAACGCGUGGCUGGGGGCACAGCCUCACCACGGGGUGAGGCGUGCGAAUGGGGGACGCUACACCCACAACCGAGGGACUCUGUCUACCUUGCCCCGUCUACCUACAGCCCGCAUAAGGCUGGAUUCGCCUUGGGCUCCGUUUCUGCCCAGAACUGUAUUAAAUUUUAAUGAUGAAAGGAAGAGAGCCAACAGCCAAAAGUCAUCAGAGCCAACAACCAAAAGUCAUCAGAUUAAAAAAAAAAUUUUUUGCUGACAUCUCUGUCAAAGAACAGCCCAGGAAAGAAAGCCUCGAUUUAAAAACUAGCAAGACAGAGGCUGACGCAAAGGUUUUUUUCAUGUGUUGCCUUAUUUGAUGAUCACCGAACAUGAAUGGGGUGAGGCGAGAUCACUCCAUCUCCUUUAGAUGGUGGAGGCUCAGACCCCAACCCGGGCCUUCCAGGUCCUAGUUCAGCGCGCUGUCCGCCUACACCUGCACAGACACAGGCGGGCAGACCCCCUCGACUCCCUGUCCACCAUCCUGUGUCCUAAAAAGCCACUGUUUACUUCCCGACCCUCAUGGCAGCAAAAGAUCAUCAUUCCAACAGAAGUUCAACAAAUCCCCAGAGAUUCACCAACAGCUGGUUCCCAAAUCCCAGCUGAGUGGGGCGCUCACACAAGAAACAUCAUCCUCACAGCCUAAGCUAGAUGAACGCCUCAAAAAAUAAAAAAAAAAACAACCAAAAAAAACUACCGGAAUAGUUCCAGCCCAAGAGGCCCUCUGUCCCCAGCCGACUCCAGGAGCCCUGGUACAAUAAUUAACAUGUGGGCCAGAGGCCCGGACUCAUUGGCACAGGACAGAUUCUCCGAUGAGAAACAGAGAAGUCCCAAAUCCCACUCACACAAAGGGCGUGUUGACACACUAUCUGCUGAGAAGCGCGAGCCUUCCGGGGAGAGCGCAAGGCAGAGGGGAAGCAGAGGGACGGCCGCAGACCAGGGGCACGCCUGCCCCGUUU
ensembl:lncRNA